GCUGGCGGCACGCCUAACACAUGCAAGUCGAACGAAGUAGCAAUACUUAGUGGCGAACGGGUGAGUAUAAUGUGGGUAUCUGCCUUUUGGUUUGGAAUAACACGGGGAAACUUGUGCUAAUACCGGAUAAGCCUUUACAGGGAAAGUUUUAACGCCAAAAGAUGAGCCCGCACUUGAUUAGCUAGUUGGUAAGGUAAUGGCUUACCAAGGCUACGAUCAAUAGCUGAUCUGAGAGGAUGAUCAGCCACAUUGGGACUGAGACACGGCCCAAACUCCUACGGGAGGCAGCAGUGGGGAAUCUUGCACAAUGGGGGAAACCCUGAUGCAGCGAUGCCGCGUGAGUGAAGAAGGCCUUUGGGUUGUAAAGCUCUUUCGUCGGGGAAGAAAAUGACUGUACCCGAAUAAGAAGGUCCGGCUAACUUCGUGCCAGCAGCCGCGGUAAUACGAAGGGACCUAGCGUAGUUCGGAAUUACUGGGCUUAAAGAGCUCGUAGGUGGUUAGAAAAGUUGGUGGUGAAAUCCCAAGGCUUAACCUUGGAACUGCCACCAAAACUUUUUAACUGGAGUAUGAUAGAGGAAAGUGGAAUUUCUAGUGUAGAGGUGAAAUUCGUAGAUAUUAGAAAGAACACCGAUUGCGAAGGCAACUUUCUGGAUCAUUACUGACACUGAGGAGCGAAAGCAUGGGUAGCGAAGAGGAUUAGAUACCCUCGUAGUCCAUGCCGUAAACGAUGUGUGCUAGACGUUGGAAAUUUAAUUUUCAGUGUCGCAGCAAAAGCGUUAAGCACACCGCCUGGGGAGUACGACCGCAAAGGUUAAACUUAAAAGGAAUUGACG
rnacentral:rRNA from 1 species